rnacentral:rRNA from 1 species
CAGCCGCCACGGUAAUACGUAGGUGGCAAGCGUUGUCCGGAAUUAUUGGGCGUAAAGCGCGCGCAGGCGGUUUCUUAAGUCUGAUGUGAAAGCCCCCGGCUUAACCGGGGAGGGUCAUUGGAAACUGGGAGACUUAGAGUGCAGAAGAGGAGAGUGGAAUUCCAUGUGUAGCGGUGAAAUGCGUAGAUAUAUGGAGGAACACCAGUGGCGAAGGCGACUCUCUGGUCUGUAACUGACGCUGAGGCGCGAAAGCGUGGGGAGCAAACAGGAUUAGAUACCCGGUAGUCCCUGUCUCUUAUAC